rnacentral:rRNA from 1 species
CCUACGGGUGGCAGCAGUAAGGAAUAUUGGUCAAUGGACGCAAGUCUGAACCAGCCAUGCCGCGUGCAGGAAGACGGCCCUACGGGUUGUAAACUGCUUUUAUACGGGAAUAAACCUUGAUACGUGUAUCAAGCUGAAUGUACUGUAAGAAUAAGGAUCGGCUAACUCCGUGCCAGCAGCCGCGGUAAUACGGAGGAUCCAAGCGUUAUCCGGAUUUAUUGGGUUUAAAGGGUGCGUAGGUGGCCUGGUAAGUCAUGGGUGAAAGACGGUAGCUUAACUAUCGCAGUGCCUUUGAUACUGCCGGGCUUGAAUAAACUAGAGGUAGGCGGAAUGUGACAAGUAGCGGUGAAAUGCAUAGAUAUGUCACAGAACACCGAUUGCGAAGGCAGCUUACUAUGGUUUUAUUGACACUGAGGCACGAAAGCGUGGGGAUCAAACAG